AUAAAUGGCCGCGGUACCCUGACCGUGCUAAGGUAGCGCAAUCAAUUGACUUUUAAUUGGAGUCAGGAAUGAAUGGAGUUACGGGGGUUAGCUGUCUCUAGGUUAAUAUAUUGAAAUUACUAUUAAGGUGAAAAAGCCUUAAGAUUGAAGAGGGACGAGAAGACCCUUAGAGUUUUUAAAGAUAAGGUAUUCCCUUAGAUUAUUUAAUUGGGGCAAUUCGGGAACAUAUAAUUUCCUUAACUAUACCAACCGAUAUUUUUAAAUGUGGAUAAACUACCUUAGGGAUAACAGCAUUAUUUUAUAAAUAAGUUUGUGACCUCGAUGUUGGACUAGGAAACCACAGGGCUAGCCGCUCUUUGGGUAAGUUCUGUUCGAAC
rnacentral:rRNA from 1 species